CCUACGGGAGGCAGCAGUGGGGAAUAUUGCACAAUGGGGGAAACCCUGAUGCAGCGACGCCGCGUGAGCGAAGAAGUAUUUCGGUAUGUAAAGCUCUAUCAGCAGGGAAGAAAAUGACGGUACCUGAGUAAGAAGCUCCGGCUAAAUACGUGCCAGCAGCCGCGGUAAUACGUAUGGAGCAAGCGUUAUCCGGAUUUACUGGGCGUAAAGGGAGCGUAGGCGGCCUGCCAAGUCUGAUGUGAAAUACCGGGGCUCAACCCCGGGGCUGCAUUGGAAACUGGCAGGCUGGAGUGCCGGAGAGGCAGGCGGAAUUCCUAGUGUAGCGGUGAAAUGCGUAGAUAUUAGGAGGAACACCAGUGGCGAAGGCGGCCUGCUGGACGGUGACUGACGCUGAGGCUCGAAAGCGUGGGGAGCAAACAGGAUUAGAUACCCCAGUAGUC
rnacentral:rRNA from 1 species